rfam:Myotis lucifugus cont2.28165, whole genome shotgun sequence.
CUGUCUCUUGCUUCAACAGUGUUUGGACGGAAUAG